rnacentral:rRNA from 1 species
AUUGAACGCUGGCGGCAUGCUCUACACAUGCAAGUCGAACGGUAACAGGCCGCAAGGUGCUGACGAGUGGCGAACGGGUGAGUAAUGCAUCGGAACGUGCCCAGUCGUGGGGGAUAACUACUCGAAAGAGUAGCUAAUACCGCAUACGAUCUAUGGAUGAAAGCGGGGGACCGUAAGGCCUCGCGCGAUUGGAGCGGCCGAUGUCAGAUUAGGUAGUUGGUGGGGUAAAGGCUCACCAAGCCAACGAUCUGUAGCUGGUCUGAGAGGACGACCAGCCACACUGGGACUGAGACACGGCCCAGACUCCUACGGGAGGCAGCAGUGGGGAAUUUUGGACAAUGGGCGCAAGCCUGAUCCAGCAAUGCCGCGUGCAGGAAGAAGGCCUUCGGGUUGUAAACUGCUUUUGUACGGAACGAAACGGCUCUGGUUAAUACCCGGGGCUAAUGACGGUACCGGAAGAAUAAGCACCGGCUAACUACGUG